UUCGUAGGCGGUGCGGCAAGUUGGGAGUGAAAUCUCUGGGCUCAACCCAGAGGCUGCUUCCAAAACUGCUGUGCUUGAGUGUGAGAGAGGCUCGUGGAAUUGCAGGUGUAGCGGUGAAAUGCGUAGAUAUCUGCAGGAACACCCGUGGCGAAAGCGGCGAGCUGGAUCACUACUGACGCUGAGGAACGAAAGCUAGGGGAGCAAACAGGAUUAGAUACCCUGGUAGUCCUAGCCCUAAACGAUCAGGACUUGGGGUGCCGCCGUUCGGGCGUCGUCCCGGAGCUAACGCGUUAAGUCCUGCACCUGGGGAGUACGGUCGCAGACUGAA
rnacentral:rRNA from 1 species